rnacentral:tRNA from 1 species
UGCUCAUGUAGCUCAGAGGUAGAGCACACCUUUGGUAAAGGUGAGGUCGACAGUUCAACUCUGUUCGUGAGCAU